rnacentral:snoRNA from 1 species
AACCCAUGGUGAGGGCACCUUCUCAAUAAAUCCUUAUAUCUCUCCUAUGCAUCAUAGAGUGUCUCUAGAUCCAUCUGCACAAAAGAAGAAAUAUCAUUCCUUAACUU